rnacentral:rRNA from 1 species
GAUGAACGCUGGCGGCGUGCCUAAUACAUGCAAGUCGAGCGAACAGACGAGGAGCUUGCUCCUCUGACGUUAGCGGCGGACGGGUGAGUAACACGUGGAUAACCUACCUAUAAGACUGGGAUAACUUCGGGAAACCGGAGCUAAUACCGGAUAAUAUAUUGAACCGCAUGGUUCAAUAGUGAAAGACGGUUUUGCUGUCACUUAUAGAUGGAUCCGCGCCGCAUUAGCUAGUUGGUAAGGUAACGGCUUACCAAGGCAACGAUGCGUAGCCGACCUGAGAGGGUGAUCGGCCACACUGGAACUGAGACACGGUCCAGACUCCUACGGGAGGCAGCAGUAGGGAAUCUUCCGCAAAGGGCGAAAGCCUGACGGAGCAACGCCGCGUGAGUGAUGAAGGUCUUCGGAUCGUAAAACUCCGUUAUUAGGGAAGAACAAAUGUGUAAGUAACUAUGCACGUCUUGACGGUACCUAAUCAGAAAGCCACGGCUAACUACGUG